UUAGCAGUUUUAGUCUCGGGAGAAGGAGUAACGAAACUACUUGGAGUACCAAAAUUAACCAGAGGAACUGGAGAAGAACAAGCAAAUGCUGUAUUUCAAUUGCUGGAUGAAUGGAAUAUCGUAAACAGAGUAAAUUUUAUGUGUUUUGAUACCACAGCUAGUAACACCGGUAUAAAAAAAGAGGCCUGUACCAUUUUAGAACAAAAAAUCGGAAGAAAUCUCUUAGGUCUAGC